rnacentral:rRNA from 1 species
GACGAACGCUGGCGGCGUGCCUAAUACAUGCAAGUAGAACGCACAGUUUAUACCGUAGCUUGCUACACCAUAGACUGUGAGUUGCGAACGGGUGAGUAACGCGUAGGUAACCUGCCUGGUAGCGGGGGAUAACUAUUGGAAACGAUAGCUAAUACCGCAUAAUAUUGAUUAUUGCAUGAUAAUUAAUUGAAAGGUGCAAUUGCACCACUACCAGAUGGACCUGCGUUGUAUUAGCUAGUAGGUGAGGUAACGGCUCACCUAGGCGACGAUACAUAGCCGACCUGAGAGGGUGAUCGGCCACACUGGGACUGAGACACGGCCCAGACGCCUACGGGAGGCAGCAGUAGGGAAUCUUCGGCAAUGGACGAAAGUCUGACCGAGCAACGCCGCGUGAGUGAAGAAGGUUUUCGGAUCGUAAAGCUCUGUUGUAAGAGAAGAACGGGUGUGAGAGUGGAAAGUUCACACUGUGACGGUAUCUUACCAGAAAGGGACGGCUAACUACGUG